rnacentral:lncRNA from 1 species
UUCUAUACUUCGACAUGGCACAUUCAACCAUUCACAUAAAAAACUGAAACAAAAAACAAGCAAAAUGUAAUUGCCUAAAGUUAACAUAUCAACAGAAGUCUGUACAACUUGAUAUACACAUAAAUCUUCUGGUGCAGUGGUGCCAACAAAUAAUUGAGUUGGACAAUGAAACUGUGUAUAUGUACAAGUUCAUAUACAUAACAAAAAACAUGAAUUCGUUCGAGAAAAUGUAGCAGCUAAGAAGUGUGCAUGUAGGGACAGAGAGACAUGUAAAUCUCAUUGUUUUUUCUCCAGGAGUCAAU